AGAGUUUGAUCCUGGCUCAGAUUGAACGCUGGCGGCAUGCUUUACACAUGCAAGUCGAACGGCAGCACGGGGCGAACCCUGGUGGCGAGUGGCGAACGGGUGAGUAAUGCAUCGGACGUAUCCUUGAGUGGGGGAGUAACGCAGCGAAAGUUGUGCUAAUACCGCAUAAGCUCUGAGGAGGAAAGCGGGGGACCGGAAAGGCCUCGCGCUGAAGGAGCGGCCGAUGUCCGAUUAGCUAGUUGGUGAGGUAAAGGCUUACCAAGGCGACGAUCGGUAACGUGUCGUCG
rnacentral:rRNA from 1 species